AGCGAACGCUGGCGGCAGGCCUAACACAUGCAAGUCGAACGAACCCUUCGGGGUUAGUGGCGGACGGGUGAGUAACACGUGGGAACGUGCCUUUAGGUUCGGAAUAACUCAGGGAAACUUGUGCUAAUACCGAAUGUGCCCUUCGGGGGAAAGAUUUAUCGCCUUUAGAGCGGCCCGCGUCUGAUUAGCGAGUUGGUGAGGUAAUGGAUCACCAAGGCGACGAUCAGUAGCUGGUCUGAGAGGAUAACCAGCAACAUUGGGACUGAGACACGGCCAAAACUCCUACGGGAGGUAGCAGUGGGGAAUCUUGCGCAAUGGGCGAAAGCCUGACGCAGCCAUGCCGCGUGGAUGAUGAAGGUCUUAGGAUUGUAAAAUCCUUUCACCGGUGAAGAUAAUGACUGUAGCCGGAGAAGAAGCCCCGGCUAACUUCGUGCCAGCCGCCGCCGUAACAC
rnacentral:rRNA from 1 species